rnacentral:rRNA from 1 species
UUAAAUUGAAGAGUUUGAUCAUGGCUCAGAUUGAACGCUGGCGGCAGGCCUAACACAUGCAAGUCGGACGGUAGCACAGAGAGCUUGCUCUCGGGUGACGAGUGGCGGACGGGUGAGUAAUGUCUGGGGAUCUGCCCGAUAGAGGGGGAUAACCACUGGAAACGGUGGCUAAUACCGCAUAACGUCGCAAGACCAAAGAGGGGGACCUUCGGGCCUCUCACUAUCGGAUGAACCCAGAUGGGAUUAGCUAGUAGGCGGGGUAACGGCCCACCUAGGCGACGAUCCCUAGCUGGUCUGAGAGGAUGACCAGCCACACUGGAACUGAGACACGGUCCAGACUCCUACGGGAGGCAGCAGUGGGGAAUAUUGCACAAUGGGCGCAAGCCUGAUGCAGCCAUGCCGCGUGUAUGAAGAAGGCCUUCGGGUUGUAAAGUACUUUCAGCGGGGAGGAAGGCGAUGUGGUUAAUAACCGUAUCGAUUGACGUUACCCGCAGAAGAAGCACCGGCUAACUCCGUGCCAGCAGCCGCGGUAAUACGGAGGGUGCAAGCGUUAAUCGGAAUUACUGGGCGUAAAGCGCACGCAGGCGGUCUGUUAAGUCAGAUGUGAAAUCCCCGGGCUUAACCUGGGAACUGCAUUUGAAACUGGCAGGCUUGAGUCUCGUAGAGGGGGGUAGAAUUCCAGGUGUAGCGGUGAAAUGCGUAGAGAUCUGGAGGAAUACCGGUGGCGAAGGCGGCCCCCUGGACGAAG